rnacentral:rRNA from 1 species
CGCUGGCGGCGUGCCUAACACAUGCAAGUCGAACGAGAAGCUAACCUCUGAUUCCUUCGGGAUGAUGAGGUUAGCAGAAAGUGGCGAACGGGUGAGUAACGCGUGGGUAAUCUACCCUGUAAGUGGGGGAUAACCCUCCGAAAGGAGGGCUAAUACCGCAUAAUAUCUUCCUCUCUAAAGAGAAGAAGAUUAAAGAUGGCCUCUAUACUAUGCUAUCGCUUCAGGAUGAGUCCGCGUACCAUUAGCUAGUUGGUAGGGUAAUGGCCUACCAAGGUUAUGAUGGUUAGCUGGUCUGAGAGGAUGAUCAGCCACACUGGAACUGAAACACGGUCCAGACUCCUACGGGAGGCAGCAGUGAGGAAUAUUGCGCAAUGGGGGCAACCCUGACGCAGCAACGCCGCGUGAGUGAGGAAGGUUUUCGGAUUGUAAAGCUCUGUCGAGCGGAAAGAAAUAUAUAGUGGCUAAUAUCCACCAUGUUUGACGGUACCGCUAGAGGAAGCACCGGCUAACUCCGUGCCAGCAGCCGCGGUAAUACGGGGGGUGCAAGCGUUGUUCGGAAUCAUUGGGCGUAAAGAGCGUGUAGGCGGCUGGACAAGUCAGAUGUGAAAGCCCUGGGCUUAACCCAGGAAGUGCAUUUGAAACUGUCUUGCUUGAGUAAGGGAGAGGAAAGUGGAAUUCCUGGUGUAGAGGUGAAAUUCGUAGAUAUCACGAGGAACACCGGUGGCGAAGGCGACUUUCUGGCCCUAUACUGACGCUGAGACGCGAAAGCGUGGGUAGCAACAGGAUUAGAUACCCUGGUAGUCCACGCUGUAACGAUGUUCACUA